rnacentral:rRNA from 1 species
CGUUCGACGAUUUUCCGGUUGAUCCUGGCAGAGGUCACUGCUAUCGGGGUUCGAUUAAGCCAUGCGAGUCGAGAGGGUUCGGCCCUCGGCGUACUGCUCAGUAACACGUGGAUAACCUGCCCUAAGGAAGGGGAUACCCCCGGGAAACUGGGGAUAAUACCCUAUAGGUUACAGAUGCUGGAAUGCUCUGUAACCGAAAGUUCCGGCGCCUUAGGAUGGACCUGCGGCCGAUUAGGUUGUUGUCGGGGUAACGGCCCAACAAGCCAGUAAUCGGUACGGGUUGUGGGAGCAAGAGCCCGGAGUUGGAUUCUGAGACACGAAUCCAGGCCCUACGGGGCGCAGCAGGCGCGAAAACUUUACAAUGCGGGCAACCGUGAUAAGGGAACCUCGAGUGCCUGUAUAUGCAGGCUGUCUGGGUGUCUAAAACACACCUAAAGAAAGGGCCGGGCAAGACCGGUGCCAGCCGCCGCGGUAAUACCGGCGGCUCGAGUGGUGGCCACUUUUAUUGGGCUUAAAGCGUUCGUAGCUGGGUUAUUAAGUCCCUUGGGAAAUCCGACGGCUUAACCGUCGGGCGUCUAAGGGAUACUGGCAAUCUUGGAACCGGGAGAGGUGAGGGGUACUUCGGGGGUAGGAGUGAAAUCCUGUAAUCCUCGAGGGACCACCUGUGGCGAAGGCGCCUCACCAGAACGGCUUCGACAGUGAGGGACGAAAGCUGGGGGAGCAAACCGGAUUAGAUACCCGGGUAGUCCCAGCCGUAAACGAUGUGCGUUAGGUGUAUCGGUGACCACGAGUCACCGAGGUGCCGAAGGGAAACCGUGAAACGUACCGCCUGGGAAGUACGGUCGCAAGGCUGAAACUUAAAGGAAUGGGCGGGGAAACAC